rnacentral:lncRNA from 1 species
UAGCGAUCAAUUCUCUCGCUAUACAGAUAUGUGAUUCCUCCUAAUCAAUUUAAAAUCCCUAAUUCAAAUCUAAUCAUCCAUUAAAGAAAAGUGGAACUAAUUGAAGUGAUUAGGCUUGGUCUAGGUGAAUCAAUAAAGAUGGAAAAUAGAGAGAGAAUCACUCUAGGGUAGGUUAGUCAAGGGGUUUGAUCUAUCAAUGAUCAUGAUAUCCAAAGCAAAGAUC